rnacentral:lncRNA from 1 species
UUUGCCCUUCUUGGCACUUACACACAAACAUCAAGCCAUGGCGUAUCACGAGUAUGUACGGAGAUAAAAAAAACUAUACCCUAGUAGCAACUUAAUCAACCCAAACCAAUUUUAAAAAAUUUGUCAUAUAUUACAGUCCGUUUCAGUUUUUCUAUUUGCGUUUGUUCAACUUCGUUAGAUUGUGUUGCUGAUUUGAUUUGUUUUCUCUAUAGUUCAACAGAUCAUCAUCGACCGUAAGAUCGGAAGGUCAAAGAAAUUCAGAUUCGUGACCUUCAAGGAUGAGAAAUUAAUGGACAUAACAUCACCGUCAACGAGGCUCAAUCAUGAGGAAGCGGUGGCGGA